rnacentral:rRNA from 1 species
CUUGAUCAAUUAUAAGAGGUCAAGCCUGCCCAGUGACAUUGUUCAACGGCCGCGGUAUCCUAACCGUGCGAAGGUAGCGUAAUCACUUGUCCUUUAAAUAAGGACUAGUAUGAACGGCUUCACGAAGGCUAUACUGUCUCCUUAAUCUAAUCAAUUAAACUAAUCUCCCCGUGAAGAAGCGGGGAUUCGUCUAUAAGACGAGAAGACCCUAUGGAGCUUUAAACAUCUAAGACACUUGAUUAUAUCUACUAAACUUCAUGCAACCUAUCAUUUUGUCUUAAGUUUUAGGUUGGGGUGACCACGGAGAAAAAUUAAACCUCCACGUAGAAAGAAAAUUCUUUUCUAAGCAAAAAGCCACAUCUUAACGCAUCAAUAUAUUGACUUAAAUUGACCCAAUUUUUUGCUCAACGAAC